UGGAGAGUUUGAUCCUGGCUCAGGACGAACGCUGGCGGCGUGCUUAACACAUGCAAGUCGAACGGUAAGGCCCUUCGGGGUACACGAGUGGCGAACGGGUGAGUAACACGUGGGUAAUCUGCCCUGCACAUCGGGAUAAGCCUGGGAAACUGGGUCUAAUACCGGAUAGGACCACAGAACACAUGUCCUGUGGUGGAAAGCUUUUGCGGUGUGGGAUGGGCCCGCGGCCUAUCAGCUUGUUGGUGGGGUGAUGGCCUACCAAGGCGACGACGGGUAGCCGGCCUGAGAGGGUGUCCGGCCACACUGGGACUGAGAUACGGCCCAGACUCCUACGGGAGGCAGCAGUGGGGAAUAUUGCACAAUGGGCGAAAGCCUGAUGCAGCGACGCCGCGUGGGGGAUGACGGCCUUCGGGUUGUAAACCUCUUUCACCAUCGACGAAGGUCCGGGUUUUCUCGGAUUGACGGUAGGUGGAGAAGAAGCACCGGCCAACUACGUGCCAGCAGCCGCGGUA
rnacentral:rRNA from 1 species